UAAACACGUAAACAACCUGCCUUCAGGAUGGGGACAACAGACGGAAACGACUGCUAAUACCGAAUAAGUUCCAAGGGCCGCAUGGCCCAUGGAAGAAAAGGUGGCCUCUACCUGUAAGCUAUCGCCUGAAGAGGGGUUUGCGUCUGAUUAGCUGGUUGGAGGGGUAACGGCCCACCAAGGCGACGAUCAGUAGCCGGUCUGAGAGGAUGAACGGCCACACUGGAACUGAGACACGGUCCAG
rnacentral:rRNA from 1 species